CAGCACUCGUGGCUGCCGCAUCGAGGUCUCAAUGUGGGGCCGAGGCAGUUCCAGAGCCGUCGGCGUUAUACCGAAGUUUCUGAAGGUAAAGCGACUGUUCUAUCCCGGAAAGGCCCAACGCAUUUUCGGACGGACUGAGGAGGCCUUACUACGAGAGCGCAUUCAGCAGACCCGACGGGACUUGGCAAGCACAAACUAUCUCCUCUGAAAAAGAAAGAGCUGUCAAGCCGGUGGGUAGCCAAUAUGAGGCGAGAUAAGUGGCAGCCAACUCAAUAUAGUUACAUAUGGUCGUUUCAUUUUGAAGAUAGAUACAUGUAUAGUACAAACGAGAAAAGGCGACUUCUGGCAAACGCAGACCGACAAUAUUUACGUUUCCUGACCAUCUGGAGAAAACUAGUACAGAGACAACCAAGGAAACGGCCUGUCAGCGGAGAAUCAGCUUCCUUAUCAAAUGAACCAGGUGAAAGAGUGAAUCAGAAUGAUCAUACAGAUCAUUCUUAUUGUAUGCCUAGCCCCAAAAAAUUGAAACAGAAUUAUGAGGCACUACAGAAAAGGACUGAGAAGCUGAGGAAGCAAGCGGAACAUGCAACGCAAAGUGUUUCAAGAAAAAAGAAACAAAUUGUGACAUAUAAAACAGUAGUUGUAGGCCUAAAUAAGAGAUUUCAAGACUGUGCUACUGAAGUGAUAGGAUGUGACAAAACUAGUGAUAUUCUGAAGCACUUUUUGCAAUGCAAAACAAAUGUUCAAUUCCUGAAUAUCCUAAAGAAAUACAAUCAACAUUUACUCCGUCAAAGUUUAUAAUUAUUUGAGGAAGUCUGUCAAAUUACCCCAUCCUGCGCUGUCAAUUGGUCUUACUGAACUGUUUAAAAUUGUUUUUGACCUAAUCUAUAUGGCAUUGCA